rnacentral:rRNA from 1 species
CGCGUAGGCGGUGCGGUAAGUCACCUGUGAAACCUCCGGGCUUAACUCGGAGCCUGCAGGCGAAACUGCCGUGCUCGAGGGUGGGAGAGGUGCGUGGAAUUCCCGGUGUAGCGGUGAAAUGCGUAGAGAUCGGGAGGAACACCUGUGGCGAAAGCGGCGCACUGGACCACUUCUGACGCUGAGGCGCGAAAGCUAGGGGAGCAAACAGGAUUAGAUACCCUGGUAGUCCUAGCCCUAAACGAUGAUUGCUUGGUGUGAUCGGUACCCAAUCCGAUCGUGCCGCAGCUAACGCGAUAAGCAAUCCGCCUGGGGAGUACGGUCGCAAGGCUAGAA